ACUUUUAAAUUGAAGAGUUUGAUCAUGGCUCAGAUUGAACGCUGGCGGCAGGCCUAACACAUGCAAGUCGAACGGUAACAGGAAGCAGCUUGCUGCUUUGCUGACGAGUGGCGGACGGGUGAGUAAUGUCUGGGAAACUGCCCGAUGGAGGGGGAUAACUACUGGAAACGGUAGCUAAUACCGCAUAACGUCGCAAGACCAAAGAGGGGGACCUUAGGGCCUCUUGCCAUCGGAUGUGCCCAGAUGGGAUUAGCUAGUAGGUGGGGUAAUGGCUCACCUAGGCGACGAUCCCUAGCUGGUCUGAGAGGAUGACCAGCCACACUGGAACUGAGACACGGUCCAGACUCCUACGGGAGGCAGCAGUGGGGAAUAUUGCACAAUGGGCGCAAGCCUGAUGCAGCCAUGCCGCGUGUAUGAAGAAGGCCUUCGGGUUGUAAAGUACUUUCAGCGGGGAGGAAGGGAGUAAAGUUAAUACCUUUGCUCAUUGACGUUACCCGCAGAAGAAGCACCGGCUAACUCCGUGCCAGCAGCCGCGGUAAUACGGAGGGUGCAAGCGUUAAUCGGAAUUACUGGGCGUAAAGCGCACGCAGGCGGUUUGUUAAGUCAGAUGUGAAAUCCCCGGGCUCAACCUGGGAACUGCAUCUGAUACUGGCAAGCUUGAGUCUCGUAGAGGGGGGUAGAAUUCCAGGUGUAGCGGUGAAAUGCGUAGAGAUCUGGAGGAAUACCGGUGGCGAAGGCGGCCCCCUGGACGAAGACUGACGCUCAGGUGCGAAAGCGUGGGGAGCAAACAGGAUUAGAUACCCUGGUAGUCCACGCCGUAAACGAUGUCGACUUGGAGGUUGUGCCCUUGAGGCGUGGCUUCCGGAGCUAACGCGUUAAGUCGACCGCCUGGGGAGUACGGCCGCAAGGUUAAAACUCAAAUGAAUUGACGGGGGCCCGCACAAGCGGUGGAGCAUGUGGUUUAAUUCGAUGCAACGCGAAGAACCUUACCUGGUCUUGACAUCCACGGAAGUUUUCAGAGAUGAGAAUGUGCCUUCGGGAACCGUGAGACAGGUGCUGCAUGGCUGUCGUCAGCUCGUGUUGUGAAAUGUUGGGUUAAGUCCCGCAACGAGCGCAACCCUUAUCCUUUGUUGCCAGCGGUCCGGCCGGGAACUCAAAGGAGACUGCCAGUGAUAAACUGGAGGAAGGUGGGGAUGACGUCAAGUCAUCAUGGCCCUUACGACCAGGGCUACACACGUGCUACAAUGGCGCAUACAAAGAGAAGCGACCUCGCGAGAGCAAGCGGACCUCAUAAAGUGCGUCGUAGUCCGGAUUGGAGUCUGCAACUCGACUCCAUGAAGUCGGAAUCGCUAGUAAUCGUGGAUCAGAAUGCCACGGUGAAUACGUUCCCGGGCCUUGUACACACCGCCCGUCACACCAUGGGAGUGGGUUGCAAAAGAAGUAGGUAGCUUAACCUUCGGGAGGGCGCUUACCACUUUGUGAUUCAUGACUGGGGUGAAGUCGUAACAAGGUAACCGUAGGGGAACCUGCGGUUGGAUCACCUCCUUACCUUAAA
rnacentral:rRNA from 1 species